UUUAUGUAUAGUUGACCGGGAAAUUAAAGCAGCGAUCACUUGGACUAUUCCACAGCACCCCUCUCACAUUGGUACAUCCCCCCAGGUAUUGUCUUCUACAGUAGAGCGGGACAUUUGAUUUACUCUCAGCGGAAUUGACCGGAGAAGGCAUCAGUUCAUGCACUGCACUGGCCUGCACCAUGAUUAGUAUAAGGCACAUUUCACGAAGCAGAACGCAGUCUUCAGAGAUAUCCACGUGAACGCUGUGAUACGUCUGACCUUCAGUCCGAAGAAGAAACCCAGACCAGUCUUAAAAGAAAGCACAAACCAAAUCCCCUGUACACAUAUACGGACUCAGAGGAUGAGCAGCCUACAAAAAAACGGUUUCCCCAGGCCCCUCGAGUG